UACGAAGGGGGCUAGCGUUGUUCGGAAUUACUGGGCGUAAAGCGCACGUAGGCGGAUAUUUAAGUCAGGGGUGAAAUCCCAGAGCUCAACUCUGGAACUGCCUUUGAUACUGGGUAUCUUGAGUAUGGAAGAGGUAAGUGGAAUUGCGAGUGUAGAGGUGAAAUUCGUAGAUAUUCGCAGGAACACCAGUGGCGAAGGCGGCUUACUGGUCCAUUACUGACGGCUG
rnacentral:rRNA from 1 species